rnacentral:pre_miRNA from 1 species
CAGCUACUCCCUCCGUUCGGAAUUACUUGUCUCGAAAAUGGAUGUAUCUAGAACUAAAAUACGUCUAGAUACAUCCAUUUCUGCGACAAGUAAUUCCGAACGGAGGGAGUACAUG